rnacentral:rRNA from 1 species
GAGCCCCCCAUCCUGCCGCGUUUCCGGUUUGAGCUCUUUUGGCUCAACCAGGCCGGAUUUCAGGAGGUGGUCGUGGCUAGGUGGAUCUUCGCGCGCACUACCCCCCACCGCUCCAUGUCCGCCGUUGACUCGUGGCAGUUCUGUGCCAAGCUCGCCCGCCAAUUCAUGAAGGGGUGGGGCACUAACCUUGGCUGGGACCUCCACGAAUGCAAGAGGGCCCUCCUGUCGGCUAUCCAAGCCUUGGACGCCCGCGCUGACACUUCUGGGAUCUCCCCGGAUGAGUGGAUGCUGAGAUAUGAUCUCGAGGAUCAGCUCUCGACCAUCUACAUGGAUGAAGAGGCAUACUGGAGGCUACGCGGCACCCAACAAUGGGUGCUCCGUGGGGACGCCAAUACGGCCUACUUCUAGGCGAUUGCUAAUGGGCGGCGGCGUCAAAAUUCCAUCCAUUGUUUGUGGGAUGGAGAUACCCCUCUCAUCCUCCCCUCGGACAUCCGUGUCCACGUCGAUGGCUUCUAUAAAGCCCUAUUUUCCCCCACCCCUCAGGGUGGGGCUACACUGGCCCCUGACACUUGGUCGACUAACCAGUUGACAUCUGCCGAGGCAAAUGCUGCUUUGGUUGCGCCCUUCUCUGAGGACGAGGUCCUCGCCGCCAUUAAGGGUAUGAACCCCUCCUCGGACUCGGGUCCGGAUGGACUGCCAGUGACGUUUUUCAAAACGCUCUGGCAGACCAUCAAACCAGAAGUCAUGGCCCUUUUCGAGGAGUUCUAAUCGGGGAUCAUGGACCUUGGGCGCCUAAACUAUGGGGUCAUCACCCUCAUCCCCAAAGUUCCGGGUGCUUCUGACAUCCGCCAGUUUAGGCCUAUCACCGUGAUCAAUGUGAUAUUCCGGAUCCUUGCCAAAGGGUAUGCCAAUAGGGUG